rnacentral:lncRNA from 1 species
UUACAAUAUAUUUCUCUAAAUUGAUUGAUUUCUUUCCUAAAGACACAACAGAAUUAAUCAACUAUAAUUGAUUUAUUUUUUUUACUUGGAUGAAAGUGAUUCAUAUGCCAAACAGAGCCUAAGUAAUUAAAAUAACAAAUUAGUUUAAAAAGGUAACUACCUGGAAUACGCAUUAGAAUGAAUCAGUAUUAGAGAGAUUAGAAACACCAGUAUUGAUUUGUGAGAAAACCAAGAUCUUUGAUCUGUAUCAUUUAAAAAGGAAAGACCAUCAACAGAACCAUUAUCAUUCUUCUUGUCUUUCUUCUUUUUUGACACAAAAUCAUGAAACUUGAGUAGCUAUACUGCAAUAGGGAGAAAAAGGAAGAAGAAAGACGAUUCAUUUAGUGAUGAAGCAGAAGAAGUUUGAAGAAAGUGGUAUUGCUAGCUUCAAUGACAUUGCUGAGGAAAAUAAAUAGAGAUCUAUACACAAAAUUAUGAAAGACAAGAAGAUUCAUACCAAUUGAACAGCAAGGAUGUUUCUGGUCAUCUUCAUUUUCAAUGUUGGAGCUUAUGACUUCACCUCCAAUUGAUGUAGGUUGUAACUCAUCAUUAUAAUUUCCCUGGCCAUCUUCACUUUCAUUGUUAGACCAAUCAGACCCCACACCAAUUUCCCAACCAUCCAGAUUCGACUUAUGUUCUAAGUUAUAUACAGGUAAGACCCCACACCCCUUUAUCCCCUCUGUUGACCACCACAAUUCUUCAUUGAAAUCUUGAUGCAUGAAUUGAAAUGAUAGGUUGCAAUCAUUACUUCCAUGUUUCCGUCUGUUGUAAGGAUGCCAACAUAUCAAUACGUGAUCUGAAAUUAAUGUCCCAUUAUAUUCGUAAACAACAAGAAUACACUUGUCGACUUCUUUGCCGUGUUCAAAGAUGACACAAUGCAGGGGGUGAUUGAGAUCAUGGAAGCCCUUAGAAAGAAUGGUGCAGAAUACGAAACCAGACAGGUUAUAUUUUGGAAUCGGAGGAAUGGUUAUUGAAGCCUUCAUUGUUUGAAAAUCAAACUUGCGAGGAACUUGUGCUCCUGGCAAGAAAUAGACAUCAUAAUAGGAACGGUUAUUGACAUCUUUAUUUGCAUGAAAAGGGUCUUUAGAGAAGAUUUGUACUAUGUUCUCAAGAAAUGACCGUUGAGUGGAGUCUGUGUCCAGAUAAGUGCAAUUAAUGGCACUCAAACAUAAUAGGGAUGGCGGAAGCUCUGUUAGAGACACAAGUUUCCUGCAAUCAUCUAAAACUAGCCAUUUUAGCAUUGAAUGGUUUCGUAUGUUCUCAGGGACACAUUCCAAGUUGCAACAAUCUUGCAAUGAGAGCCGUUUCAAAGAUUGUAUGCCAUCAAGGAUGGACCACAGACUUAAUGCAUUGAUUUCUGUGCACCGUGAAAGGUUUAGUUCUAUAACAGACCCAAGUCCAUGAUCAUCUGAUAACUUAUUCCCAACAAUGUUAAGCUUGUUACACUCGGUUAGGGAAAGAGAAGUAAGUUUUCUGUUACGCCAAAUCGAUGAAGACAAUUCACGUAUAGCAGUGCCAUCUAAGGUCAACUCUGUCAUUUCAUCCGAUGUCACUGAGAAUUCUGUGAGAGAAGAACAACCAUCGAGUAAGAGUUCACAAAGAGAUUUUGAAUGAAUGUUGGUUUUAAGGCUUUCAAUCUUUUUGCAACCUCGUAAAUCUAGAUAUCUAAGAUCAGGGAGAGAAAAGAUCGAAGAAUGGAGCUGACCCAGGCUUUCACAUUGAAAAAGAUAUACUCUAUGAAGAUUUGUAGCCUUAGAUAAGUCUGGGAUCUCAAUCAGAUUUUUGGAGGAUUCAAGCCAAAGUAUGUUUAGAUUCACAAGAUUCUGUAACAAGAAAUAAAAACACCAUUGAGAAACCGUUAAAUUCAUAAUCACGUGUGAGUGUUGAUUAAAAGAGAAACUAAACCUAAUUAAGCAUAAAUAGAGACUUUUUAAGAAUGAGCAUUAGACUUCCUCUCAUACUUCGACAAAUUAACAAGUAUAUCCAAACAGAAUUGUACCUGAACUCCAUCCCAUAGCUUUUUAAGCUUGCUAUGACUCAAGUGAAGCUCUAUGAGCAUUUCAGCACAAAAGGUUGAUGGCAAAUACUCAAGACAGUAUCCUUCCCAUCGAAGAUACCUCAAUUUAUCAGAAAUCCACUCAAGACCAUCGAGAAAGUACACAUUGGAUGUGCUUCUUCUAGAUUUAUUAUAGAUUUUAAGAUAUCUUAAAUUUGUCAUCCAUCUAAAGGAAUUAGACUUCAAGUAAAGAUCCCCCACAUCUGUACUAUCGAAUGUUAUCCCUUCGACAGCUUUAGUUCCCUG